rnacentral:lncRNA from 1 species
UUUUCAUCUAUGUUUAAAAUGUUUAAAAUGUUGUUGAUUUAAAUUUGCUUAAUAACUUGCUAAAAUGAUUUAUUUCAUAACUAAAUAGCCGUAACUCGGAAUUUAAUAAACUUUAUAUGUAAAUGGGGUAGAAAAUGCCUAGUUUAACAUGGUGUACUUGUUUUGCAUGUUUAACAACCCUAAAAUUGUGUUUAAGGCAGAUCAGUACCAAACCUAAUAUAUGCAUAUGAGGAGUUCCCGGACUUGUUGUUUUGUUGUACCGGCCUCAUUUAGACUUGCCUAGAUUAGAUAGUUUCAUCAUGCUUCACCUCUUGCCAUGUUUAACAACAUUUAAUAUUGUUGCGUACAUAAACGAGAUCGAACUAAAUAACUUGUCGGGGUGUUUUGUCAAUAUGCAACUCCGUGACAUAUUGAGCUCCACUUAAUUUGUAGUGUUGUUUGUUGCACUUUGCCAUGCCAUGCUUCAUUAAACCGGACAUGCAUCAUAAUUGUUUAUGCAUCAUGCCAUGUCUAUGUGGUGGUUGUUUACUAUGUUGUCUGCUUCUUUCCGGUGUGCUUCUUCGGGUUGUUUCUGGUAACGUCGUGUUUGUGAGGACCCGUUCGACUACGUCUGUUUUUCUUCUUCAUGGACUCGUUCUUUUUCCUUGCGGGAUCUCAGGCAAGAUGACCAUACCCUCGAAAUCACUUCUAUCUUUGCUUGCUAGUUGCUCGCUCUUUUGCUAUGCCUAUGCUGCGAUACCUACCACUUGCUUAUCAUGCCUCCCAUAUUGUUGAACCAAGCUUCUAACCCACUUUGUCCUAGCAAACCGUUGUUUGGCUAUGUUACCGCUUUGCUCAGCCCCUCUUAUAGCAUUGUUAGUUGCAGGUGAAGAUUGAAGUUUGUUCCUUGUUGGAACAUGGAGAUGUUGUUCCUUGUUGGAACAUGUUUACUUGUUGGGAUAUCACAAUAUCUCUUAUCUAAUUAAUGCAUCUAUAUACUUGGUAAAGGGUGGAAGGCUUGGCCUUAUGCCUGGUGUUUUGUUCCACUCUUGCCGCCCUAGUUUUCGUCAUAUCGGUGUUAUGUUCCCGGAUUUUGCGUUCCUUACGCGGUUGGGUUAUAAUGGGAACCCCUUGACAGUUUGCCUUGAAUAAAACUCCUCCAGCAAUGCCCAACAUUGGUUUUACCAUUCGCCACCUAGCCUUUUCUUUCCCUUGGGUAGGCCUACCCAAGGGUCAUCUUUAUUUUAACCCCCCUGGGCCAGUGCUCCUCUGAGUGUUGGUCCGACCGAGUAUACUGCGGGGCCACCUCGGGGCAGCUUGAGGGUUAGUUUUACUCGUAGGAUGUCUCAUCUGAGUGAGCCCUGAGAACGAGAUAUGUGCAGCUCCUAUCAGGAUUUGUCGGCACAUUCGAGCGGUGUUGCUGGACUUGUUUUACCAUUGUCGAGGAUGUCUUGUAACCGGGAUUCCGAGUCUGAUCGGGUCUUCCCGCUAGAAGGAAUAUCCUUCGUUGACCGUGAGAGCUUGUGAUGGGCUAAGUUGGGACACCCCUGCAGGAAUUUGAACUUUCGAAAGCUGUGCCCGCGGUUAUGGGCAGAUGGGAAUUUGUUAACGUCCGGUUGUAGAAAACCUGAAGUUGACCUUAAUUAAAAUACAUCAACCGCGUGUGUUACCGUGAUGGUCUCUUUCCGGCGGAGUCCGGGAAGUGAACACGGUGUUGGAGUUAUGCUUGACGUAGGUUGCUAUAGGAUCACUUCUUGAUCAUACUUUUAUCGACCGUGCUUUGCCUUCUCUUCUCGCUCUCAUUUGCGUAUGUUAGUCACCAAAUAUGCUAGUCGCUUGCUGCAGCUCCACCUCAUACCUUUACCUUACCCAUAAGCUUAAAUAGUCCUGAUCGCGAGGAUGUGAGAUUGCUGAGUCCCCGUGACUCACAGAUACUUCCAAAACCAAUUUGCAGGUGCCGAGGUUACCGUGCAGAUGACGCAACCAAGCUCAAGGAGGAGCUCGAUGAAGAUCUUAUCCUUUUGUGUUGUUUCGUUCUAGUUGAUCAGUAGUGGAGCCCAGUUGGGGUCGAUCGGGGACCUUGUCGCAUUUGGGAUUCUUCUUUUAUUUUGGUUCCGUAGUCGGUCCUUGAUUGUAUUUGGAUGGUGUAAUGCUUUAUUUAUGUAAUUAUGUGAAGUGGCGAUUGUAAGCCAACUAUGUAUCUCUUUCCCUUAUGUAUUACAUGGGUUGUGUGAAGAUUACCUCACUUGCGACAUUGCUUUCAAUGCGGUUAUGCCUCUAAGUCGUGCUUCGACACGUGGGAGAUAUAGCCGCAUCGAGGGCGUGACACUUACUCUCGUUUGUUUCUUAAUUAAGUGCAUG